AGGACAGUGGCAGAAUUUUAUUGCAAAAGACUUAGAAUCUUAUCAACCCUAUU
rnacentral:tRNA from 1 species